rnacentral:rRNA from 1 species
UACGUAGGGUGCAAGCGUUGUCCGGAAUUAUUGGGCGUAAAGAGCUCGUAGGCGGUUUGUCGCGUCUGCUGUGAAAACUCGGGGCUUAACCCCGGGCCUGCAGUGGGUACGGGCAGACUAGAGUGCGGGAGGGGAGACUGGAAUUCCUGGUGUAGCGGUGAAAUGCGCAGAUAUCAGGAGGAACACCGGUGGCGAAGGCGGGUCUCUGGGCCGUAACUGACGCUGAGACGCGAAAGCGUGGGGAGCGAACCGG